CUGGUUUUUUUCAAAGUACUAAAAGGGCAAAAUAAGUUAUUUUUCCCAGACAGGUCUCAUAAAAAUUCCCUCAGUGUCUGGAUGCAAUCAGAACAACAAACUCAUUGGGCUGUGACUGAUUAAUUCAUCUUCAAAAUUUUUCAUGGUUUUUAAAAACUGUAUUGUUGGAAUAUUUACCAGAGGCUCAUUUCAGUAAUUGACAUGUAUGUUAAGAAUCCUCAUUAAACUGGGAACUGAACUGCAACAGUUGCCUAAGGCCUGUGAUAGCAGGAUAUGUGGAGAGAGUUCUGAAGUAAAAUACAAAAAACUUGCAUGCUGAAUUCCCGUAGUAGCUGACUAUUUGCAAAGGGGGCACAGUCCUGAGACAUGACAAGGCAGGAGGUGGCUGUCAGGGGUUGUGACCUCCAGGGCGUGCGCAUCUGGGAUGAUUGAGAAACACGCUAUAAGAAAGAUGAAUAGGCGAAGAAAUUAAACACUGAUGUCUGUAGCCCUGUAUGUGCACCUGGUGAAGG